UACGGAGGGAGCUAGCGUUGUUCGGAAUUACUGGGCGUAAAGCGCACGUAGGCGGCUUUUUAAGUCCGUUGUGAAAGCCCUGGGCUCAACCUGGGAAUGGCAGUGGAUACUGGAAAGCUAGAGUGCGGUAGAGGGUAGUGGAAUUCCCGGUGUAGCAGUGAAAUGCGUAGAGAUCGGGAGGAACACCAGUGGCGAAGGCGGCUACCUGGACCAGCACUGACACUGAGGCACGAAAGCGUGGGGAGCAAACAGG
rnacentral:rRNA from 1 species